CCUACGGGUGGCUGCAGUCGAGGAUCUUCGGCAAUGAGCGCAAGCUUGACCGAGCGACGCCGCGUGUGCGAUGAAGGCCUUCGGGUUGUAAAGCACUGUCGAGGGGGAGAUCUAUCCCUGGAGGAAGCACGGGCUAAGUUCGUGCCAGCAGCCGCGGUAAGACGAACCGUGCGAACGUUGUUCGGAAUCACUGGGCUUAAAGGGCGCGUAGGCGGGCUGCCAAGUCUGUGGUGAAAUCCUCCAGCUUAACUGGAGAACGGCCGUGGAUACUGGCGGUCUCGAGGGAGAUAGGGGCAAGCGGAACUGUGCGUGGAGCGGUGAAAUGCGUUGAUAUGCACAGGAACUCCGGUGGCGAAGGCGGCUUGCUGGUCCUUCUGACGCUGAGGCGCGAAAGCUAGGGGAGCGAACGGGAUUAGAUACCCUUGUAGUC
rnacentral:rRNA from 1 species